AUUGAACGCUGGCGGCAUGCCUUACACAUGCAAGUCGAACGGUAACAGGUCUUCGGAUGCUGACGAGUGGCGAACGGGUGAGUAAUACAUCGGAACGUGCCCGAUCGUGGGGGAUAACGGAGCGAAAGCUUUGCUAAUACCGCAUACGAUCUACGGAUGAAAGCAGGGGACCGCAAGGCCUUGCGCGGACGGAGCGGCCGAUGGCAGAUUAGGUAGUUGGUGGGAUAAAAGCUUACCAAGCCGACGAUCUGUAGCUGGUCUGAGAGGACGACCAGCCACACUGGGACUGAGACACGGCCCAGACUCCUACGGGAGGCAGCAGUGGGGAAUUUUGGACAAUGGGCGAAAGCCUGAUCCAGCCAUGCCGCGUGAAGGAUGAAGGCCUUCGGGUUGUAAACUGCUUUUGUACGGAACGAAAAGACUCUUUCUAAUAAAGAGGGUCCAUGACGGUACCGUAAGAAUAAGCACCGGCUAACUACGUG
rnacentral:rRNA from 1 species